UACGAAGGGUGCAAACGUUGCUCGGAAUUAUUGGGCGUAAAGCGCACGUAGGCGGCUUGGCAAGUCGGAUGUGAAAUCCCUCGGCUCAACCAAGGAAGUGCAUCCGAAACUGCCGAGCUUGAGUACUUAAGAGGAUCGCGGAAUUCCCGGUGUAGAGGUGAAAUUCGUAGAUAUCGGGAGGAACACCAAUUGCGAAGGCAGCUCGCUGGGACGUUACUGACGCUGAGACGCGAAAGCGUGGGGAGCAAACAGG
rnacentral:rRNA from 1 species